AGAGGCCUAGGACUCUGUAUUGGGGCGUGGCGGAGGUGUUUACCCAUCAGGAGAAAGCCCAGAUGCUGGAGUGAGGCGGCGCCUGAAGGAACGCCGGGGACCCCCUGAUUUGCUCUUUUUUUAAAACUUUAUUUUUUUAAUUUAUUAUUUUUGGCCGUGUUGGGUUGUUGCAGCACGUGGGCGUUCUCUAGUUGCGAUGUAGUGAAGACGACCUGAGUGAACAGAUAGAUAAUGGUGCCAUCAGCUGAAAUAGAAAAUGAGGGAGCAGGAGGAGGUAUUUGAGGAGAAUAUACAACUGCAAAUGGCCCGUGUUAUACUUCUGUUGGACAGUACCACCUGAGACUUCAAACCUGUUUGUGAAGGGUGACAUCUGUGCCUCGUGCAUCUUUUUAUCCUCAGUGCCUAGAACAGUAGCGGGUGCCUAGUAGGCACUAGGCAAGUAUUUAUGAAUACAUGAAUGAAACCUGUAAGUGAAUGGAAUGAAUGAAUGAAUGAAUCUCUAAAAGUAAUACACUUCCCUCUGAAGGAUGUUCAUUACAUUGUCUCUUUGACAGUGUUGGAUGUAAAUGUGCAAAAAGACUCAGGCUCUAAGUGUUUUGCUUGAUUAGAGCUCAAAGGAACCCCUAAUGAUCUUUGACUCAGACCCCAGCUGUAAAGUGGAAGGAGGUGUGAAAGGUGGCAGUUGCAUUUCCUUAGGGAAGUGGGAACUGCCACCAAGAGGAAGGAGGUGAUGUGUGGUGGGAAUAGCAGGGCUUUGGAGUCACACAGACUUAGGUUUGAAUUAUGUUCCACCACUGGCUGUGUAACCUCUCUUUAUUUUCUUAAUUUCUCUGGGGCUCAGUUUGCAUGGUGAAAUGGGGAUAAAAAUGCCUCUUAGGAUUGUGUGUGACGGUUAAACGAGAUGACAUAUAUUAACUUGCAAACCGCUUGUCACUUGGAGGUAUUUCAGUAAAUGUACAUUCCCGCCUG